CCGGGAGCUGCUUCUCCCCACACUCCACCCCUGCGCCUCCCCGAGCUUCAGCCUCUCCUGUAAAGAGCAGAGAUGGAGAGGAAGCGACCGUCACAACUUCCGGUUAGCGUGGCGGAGGCUCUCCGAGUCUUUGGGACCUCAGCACCGGGAUACCGGGAGACUCCCUCGUGUCCCCAUGUGGGCCACCUACCAGACAGAAGAGCAAAGACCCAAACUGAGAGGCGCUGCUGGUGGUGCGGAGAGCGACACAGUCCAAAAUAAGACGCGGAGCCCGAGCUGUCAGGCUGUGAGUGACAGCCGGGCUCCCAGGGCUGACUGACAAGUUCUCUCCCUUCUUGUGGCAAGCCAUGUGCGAGCCCAUCCGGAGGGACUCUGAGAAGGGCGCUAGACAUCGCGACUCAGGCGUAAGCUUGCAGGGUUAGGAGUAAAGAAAGAAACAAGUGAAACUUCUAUUUCAAUACGAGUGUAACAUGGAGGGUGAUAGUAGAGAAACUCUGUGGUCGCCACCGCUAACACAUCCUCCUUUUGUCGUGAAACCACAGCUUUGCACGCCUCAGUUCCAGUGCACCGCCCACACCAGCGAAAGGAUUAUACCUUAACCAUGUAUUUUCAACAAUAUUGGAGAGAUAAAAGGCUCGCCUAUUCUGGGAUCCCUCUCAACCUCACGCUUGACAAUCGAGUGGCUGACCAGCUAUGGGUGCCCGACACAUAUUUCUUAAAUGACAAAAAGUCAUUUGUGCAUGGAGUGACAGUGAAAAACCGCAUGAUCCGUCUUCACCCUGAUGGGACAGUGCUGUAUGGGCUCAGGUACUAUGGCCCUGGCCUGGAGGAGGUCUGGCACAGCUGAGAACACUGAAGUUAAAUUCCCCAUGGUGGAAGGUUUGCAGAGAGCUGGGGUUGUUCCUGCUGUUCCUGCUUAUAAUGUACUGCUGGGGAAGGUCCUGCCCAGCAGAGAUUGCUUUCCUACUGAUUAUGUGCUUGAAAUACUGGUUGGACUGGCUGUAUCACUGAGACCUUCAGACUGAAUUUCUCUCACCCCUGGACACUGGGAUUGGCUCUCACCUUGUCUAUCCAGCAGUAGCCUACACUGGUAGCUUGAGCUCAGCUGAAUACGACGGUGAACUGAGAUCCCUGCACCAGCUUGUCAGCAUGUGAUGGGAGAGAAUGCUCUGGACAGGGUAUGCAUGCCAUCCUAAAAUAAAACAUAAAUCCUUGACAA
rnacentral:sRNA from 1 species